UAGGGAAUCUUCGGCAAUGGGGGGAACCCUGACCGAGCAACGCCGCGUGAGUGAAGAAGGUUUUCGGAUCGUAAAGCUCUGUUGUUAAGGAAGAACGAGUGUGAGAAUGGAAAGUUCAUGCUGUGACGGUACUUAACCAGAAAGGGACGGCUAACUACGUGCCAGCAGCCGCGGUAAUACGUAGGUCCCGAGCGUUGUCCGGAUUUAUUGGGCGUAAAGCGAGCGCAGGCGGUUAGAAAAGUCUGAAGUGAAAGGCAGUGGCUCAACCAUUGUAGGCUUUGGAAACUGUUUAACUUGAGUGCAGAAGGGGAGAGUAGAAUUCCAUGUGUAGCGGUGAAAUGCGUAGAUAUAUGGAGGAACACCGGUGGCGAAAGCGGCUCUCUGGUCUGUAACUGACGCUGAGGCUCGAAAGCGUGGGGAGCGAACAGG
rnacentral:rRNA from 2 species